GUAUGAGCAUCAUUUGAAGCUUUCUUUGAUGAAAUAAAUGUGGUCCCCAAUUUACAAUUCACACACAAAUUCAUGAUGCUUCUUCUUUUUCUAUCACUCCAAGCAUCCGUCAUGAUUGAACACCCAUUAUUUUUCCACUAUUCUUCUUGCUUCUUCAAAUUUUCUUUUGUCCUCUCCACCUCUCCCUUCAAAAGUGGCUCCCUUAAUUGGUACUGGGAAGGAGGAAUGUAACCAGGUCCAUAUUGACCAAGAGCUUCAACAAAUAGUUUAAAACUAUCAUUAUCAAUGGCAUUAAAAGGAAUUCCAGCUUCAUAAACC
rnacentral:lncRNA from 1 species